rnacentral:tRNA from 1 species
AGGAAAUGGUGUAGUGGAAGCACCAAGA